UUGGGCUGGGCUGGGCUGAGCUGCAGGGGAUCUAUUUAGUUCGGAUGGACAGUGUCUUGUUCCUUUUCUUCAAUGGUCUUCCUGGACAGUUGCUCUGGAGCAGAAAGACUAAGUGUCAGGAAUGGAUCAGAAUUCCCUGGAGGGCUUUUGGCAAUAUGAUUGUCCACCUGCCUGGAGGCCACACUGUCUCAAGCCCCCAGCGGGUUCCCACUAUUCCAGGCUGAGCUCCUGGCUGCUCUCGUGAUGACAACCACCCUGGGAUGCAAACCAAAGACUUCUGGACGCUGGAGCCCCUGCACCUCACCACCCCACCAUGCUGUCCAUGCUGCCCACCACGGCCACUGCCAGCCCCACCUCGUGACUCAGACCACUGCUGCCUACCGUCGUGGGCGUCCCACCAUUGCCCUCCUCACAGGGCCUUUUACUCCACCGCCACCAGGGCCACACACGGUCAGAACCCUUCCUGCAGAAGCCCACCCCCUCUCCCACCAGGGGCUGCCAGUCAUGCUUUCGCAUCCACCAGCGGUGCGGCUGCCUAAGGGGAGGCUGGGCUCUGGCUGGGCUCCUGUCCUCGGGAUUCGUCUUUGUCCCAGAGAUCAAUGCCAAUGUCCAUGCUCAUGGCUGCUCUUGAUAGCCCCUGCGGAAUCCCACUGUAAGGACCAUAGGGUGUGUGUGUUUGUGUGUGUGUGUGUGUGUGUGUGUGUGUGUGUGUGUGUUUCUGAUAAAGGGUCCAAAACUGUCACCAGGUUCUCCCAGGAACGUUGAGACUCUGCGCAUGUGCCCACUUCACCCCUCAGAGAGCUCCUUUCCCACUAAAGCACAAUUCCCACAAUUCCCACACAGCUGUCCUACUUCCCCACCCCCACCCUGGCACAGCCUUUCUCAAGCGCUUUGUCUUUCCUGUGCUGAGGUUUCCACCAUCCGCCUUCUCCACCAGAAUGUCAGCCCCCUGAGCACAGGGCACAACCACUCACCCCUGUUUUCUAGAGCUGCGCUGGCCCGUAGCACACGCUCAAAGCCUGUUUUCUAUAACCAAACCAUCUGUCUCGUGUGUCACAUUGUUCCAGAAAUUGCUCCUCUUUCAAGAAGCCCACCCAGAUGGGCAAGCAGGCAAGCAUUUCUUCAUCCUAAGGUGACAGCUUGGGGGCUUCACCCCUCAAUCUCCUCCACACCCCACUGUGUGAAGGCCCCUCGCUGUGCCUUGAAAGCUGUGAAAAUGGACCAGAUGCUAGACUGAUCGGCAUUCUUCAUCUGCGACUUCCAGUUAUCUGCCCCAGGCACAUCCAAAUAUCCGGCCAAGCCUUCCAGGUAUUUUGAUACCAAGUCCCAAAGUCUCUGCAGGCUCAUUGCAUACCACCCGCACCCCACCCCAGCUGCAUCCCUCUCCCUUCCCACCUCAUCCCCCUAGGGAAUGUCUGGCUACUUCAUUCCUAGAGAGGUGAUCACCUGGGUCCCCUGCAUACCUUUUACUGCCCAGAAUACUGCAUGAAGACUGUCCAAGCUCAUCGCCCUCUCCUGGGACACCCUGGUUCCAUAGAGCUCUGUCCCCUCCUCCUUCCACAUCCAUGUGUGAGCCCCCUUUUCCAAGAAGCUCUCCUUGACCAAGUCCUUCUCCUCCCCGAAGCUGUCCCCCUCCCUGCCCCUGGCUGUAGACCAGUUCUGACUUACACUGAAUGGUUCUGGCUCCCCAUCAGAGGUACAAUUCCAGUCCGUAAGCAGACUUCAUCCCCUCCUCGGAUCAUGGAUGGAAAUGGGGAGAGGGCUAGAAAGCAGAGAGCUCUUGGGGUGCGCCGAUGGAAGUGAGGUCCUGGAGCUGAGCUGUGGGCAGCCAGGACUGCCGGAGGAGGCAGUCCCUGGGGACCAGGCCACAUUCCUGAAGAGCCCCCUGAGGUUCUGUCUGGGGACUUGCAGUGGCCUGGAGCUGUAGGAAGUAAUUAUCACAGUGUUUUGGGAACUAGAUUUCCAUCAGAAUUUUCUAAAUAGCACCCUGGAGCAACACGAGAUAGCCCUGGGCCCUGGGGACUCCAGCACUGGGCUGGGCAGAGGGUACAGAGCACAGGGUGGGAGGAGGCUGAGGUCAGAGGAGGGAGUCCACACCCCACAACUGUGAAGUCAAUUCCAGGGAGAGCCAGGAACCCCCAGACCCUUGGCUUAUCAGAGCUGGAAGGAAAGUGAGUGAUUGAUUCAUCUGUGGUUCUAGGACCCAGCUGCACAAAGGCUGGGACGAGUGUUUUCAAACUGUCUGUUAUAUUUCAUGGGGUCCACCGGGGUUUGACUAUUUCCUUGACAUGAGGCUGCAGUCAAGUAAGUAACUCAGCCACAAUGAGCCUGUGCUUUUGGCUGGAAUCUAUCAACCCAGGGUGGCACUGCCUGCUGUCUGCUGCAGAUCUGUGUCUGCUUCACAUGUCUUCCAGUGAACAAGAGAUGGGGAAACAAAUUAAUCGUCCCUUACACGCAGUCUGCCCAGUCAGCGACAUUUUUCAAAGCAUGACGUCCAUGGCAGCAGUGGGGGCAGGGAUAGGUAACAGUAGAAGCCUUUGGUGGUGAAAAGGUAGGAAAUUAUUAUCUGCCCCAACCCUGCAGAGGAUGCAACAGAGGUCCAGAGAGGGAAAGAGAUUUUCUCAAACUUGCACAGCAAAUUGUGGGUAGAUAUCAAAUUUGAACACAAGUCCCAGGCUCCUGGACCAGAGCACUUCCCACCAGGCUGCCUGCCCCCUCCACCCUCUCAGGGGCCACACACACACACACACACACACACACACACACACACACACACAUACUAUUAACUCCAUUUUACAUUUGUAGGUUCCUGGUCCUCACGAGAGCCAGUCUUUCAAAUGCCCUCUCACUUUCCCUCUUCAGAGUCUUUGACCAACCUAUUUGUUCAAGAGUAAGUGCCAAGAGAGUCCAUACUGUACGAUUCCAUUUCUAUAAAGUACAAACCCAGGUGAAACUGAUCUCCGCUGUGACAAGCCAGGACAGUGGUUACCCUCGGGGGAGGUGGUAACUGGAAGGGGAACGAGAGUCUGGGGUGCUGGCCAUGCCCUGUUUCUUGAUCUGGGUUCUGGUUUCACAGGUAUGUUCAGUCGGUGAAAAUGCAUCAGGUUGCACUUGAAUGCGAUGUGCAUUUUAGUGUAUGUUUGUAUGCUUCAGUUGAAAAAUUUUAGAAUUUGAAUGUUCAGUAAAUACUUGUCUUGAUUUAAGAAGAAAGCUCAUGAGGACCGUUUCUAGGCAAUGCAUUAAACAUUGGACAGAGUUACACCACGGUCAGCUGUCCGCAGUCCGAGGAGGCCCUCCCUGCCCCCACCGCUUGGCUGGUCAGCCAAAGGCCCCAGCAGGGGCAGGUGGAAAAUUCUGUAUCUUGCAACACCCAAGCUUCAUCAGGGCCAGUAACCUCUGGCUCAGUUCAGGCAGAGCCUCCUGGGACUUGAGCCACAGGUGCAGUGAGCAAGGACCCUGUGGGGAAUGACCAGCCUGGGGACUGGGAGAAGGCCGUGUCAACGGAAAGAGCUCAGCCAUCCCAGGUGGGCCCAGGUGGAGCUUGUCUUUGGCAGAGAUGGAAUGAUUAGGAUCAUUAACACCGUGUCCUAGGACUAAGCGGCUUCCCUUUAAAAGCUCGAUAUUUCUGCCUAUGUUCCGUAAAUGUGGACUUUGCGAUAAGAAGGUCUACCAUUUUUCCUCCUUGGCCAGUAAAGUAAUAAAUUUCCCUUUCCUUCCUCAAACCAUUUGUUCUCGUUCUUCUGAUGCGGCCUCGAGGACAAGUGCGGAGCUUUCAGUGACAGAGGCCACUGCACGUAGGCCAGACCAGGCGGCUCCUGCUCCCGCCCAGUGCUUGAGAGGGCUCUGUCCUGUCACGCAUGGCCACAAAAUAGACCUAGUAAGGACCUCUGACUCUCAGGACAGCGUGGCCUGGCGCCUAAGCAUCCCCCCUCGGGACCAACACUGGCCGGGGCCCCUGGAGGUGCUCCUCUACAUCUCUGUGUCCUUGAAGCCCAAACCUAUGGGACCCUGGUGUUGGAGGUCUGUGGGUUGUGCUGCUGCCACGUGGGAGGUGGCACUGCUUUCAGGGCAGAGCCCAGGAAGGAUUUGGAAGAAGUGAUUUUAAUAAGAAGACUGAUUAGGCUGGGUGUGGUGGCUCACGCCUGUAAUCCCAUUCUCUUAAACAACAACAACAAAACCUGAUCAACUCAUCCAAACCUUCUCAGAUUCAGUGAAUGUAACAGACUCCUACCUAACAAAGUAUCAUUUCUUAGAAAUGCCAAGUGUCCAUAUUCUUGCUUCUCUUCAUGUUCCAAUUCUUGGUCCUGGAUACCCUCAUGAAUGAGUGCAGUAUUCACAAAAGUUGCAUGUGGCAG